rnacentral:rRNA from 1 species
AUUGAACGCUGGCGGCAUGCUUUACACAUGCAAGUCGAACGGUAACAGGCCGCAAGGUGCUGACGAGUGGCGAACGGGUGAGUAAUGCAUCGGAACGUGCCCAGUCGUGGGGGAUAACUACUCGAAAGAGUAGCUAAUACCGCAUACGAUCUAUGGAUGAAAGCGGGGGACCGUAAGGCCUCGCGCGAUUGGAGCGGCCGAUGUCAGAUUAGGUAGUUGGUGGGGUAAAGGCUCACCAAGCCAACGAUCUGUAGCUGGUCUGAGAGGACGACCAGCCACACUGGGACUGAGACACGGCUCAGACUCCUACGGGAGGCAGCAGUGGGGAAUUUUGGACAAUGGGCGCAAGCCUGAUCCAGCAAUGCCGCGUGCAGGAAGAAGGCCUUCGGGUUGUAAACUGCUUUUGUACGGAACGAAACGGCUCUGGUUAAUACCCGGGGCUAAUGACGGUACCGUAAGAAUAAGCACCGGCUAACUACGUG